rfam:Callithrix jacchus chromosome 1, whole genome shotgun sequence
GAAAAGGCCCUCCUCAGGGCCAUCUGUAAACUGUACAGCAUUAGAU